UACGAAGGGGGCUAGCGUUGUUCGGAUUUACUGGGCGUAAAGCGCGUGUAGGCGGGACGUUAAGGUGGGGGUGAAAUCCCGGAGCUCAACUCAGGAACUGCCUUUAAAACUGGCGAGCUGCACUCAAGCAGAGGCAAGUGGAAAUGCGAGUGUAGAGGUGAAAGUCGUAGAUAUUCGCAGGAACACCAGUGGCGAAGGCGACUUGCUGGGCUUGUAGUGACGCUGAGACGCGAAAUCGUGGGGCGCAAACAGG
rnacentral:rRNA from 1 species